UAAAGAUUCAUCGCUGAUAGAUAGGCAUGCGUUCCAUUAGGCAGUUGGCGGGGUAACGGCCCACCAAACCGACGAUGGAUAGGGGUUCUGAGAGGAAGGUCCCCCACAUUGGUACUGAGACACGGACCAAACUCCUACGGGAGGCAGCAGUGAGGAAUAUUGGUCAAUGGGCGUAAGCCUGAACCAGCCAAGUCGCGUGAGGGAUGAAGGUUCUAUGGAUCGUAAACCUCUUUUAUAAGGGAAUAAAGUGUGGGACGUGUCCUGUUUUGUAUGUACCUUAUGAAUAAGGAUCGGCUAACUCCGUGCCAGCAGCCGCGGUAAUACGGAGGAUCCGAGCGUUAUCCGGAUUUAUUGGGUUUAAAGGGUGCGUAGGCGGCCUUUUAAGUCAGCGGUGAAAGUCUGUGGCUCAACCAUAGAAUUGCCGUUGAAACUGGGAGGCUUGAGUAUGUUUGAGGCAGGCGGAAUGCGUGGUGUAGCGGUGAAAUGCUUAGAUAUCACGCAGAACCCCGAUUGCGAAGGCAGCCUGCCAAGCCAUGACUGACGCUGAUGCGCGAAAGCGUGGGGAUCAAACAGGAUUAGAUACCCUGGUAGUCCACGCAGUAAACGAUGAUCACUAGCUGUUUGCGAUACAGUGUAA
rnacentral:rRNA from 1 species